AGUAACGGCGAGUGAAGCGGCAACAGCUCAAAUUUGAAAUCUGGCUCUCGGGCCCGAGUUGUAAUUUGUAGAGGAUGCUUUUGGUGAGGUGCCUUCCGAGUUCCCUGGAACGGGACGCCAUAGAGGGUGAGAGCCCCGUCUGGUUGGACGCCGAACCUCUGUAAAGCUCCUUCGACGAGUCGAGUAGUUUGGGAAUGCUGCUCUAAAUGGGAGGUAUAUGUCUUCUAAAGCUAAAUACCGGCCAGAGACCGAUAGCGCACAAGUAGAGUGAUCGAAAGAUGAAAAGAACUUUGAAAAGAGAGUUAAACAGUACGUGAAAUUGUUGAAAGGGAAGCGCUUGUGACCAGACUUGGGCUUGGUUGAUCAUCCGGGGUUCUCCCCGGUGCACUCUUCCGGCCCAGGCCAGCAUCAGUUCGCCCUGGGGGACAAAGGCUUCGGGAACGUGGCUCUCUCCGGGGAGUGUUAUAGCCCGUUGCGUAAUACCCUGUGGCGGACUGAGGUUCGCGCAUUCGCAAGGAUGCUGGCGUAAUGGUCAUCAGUGACCCGUCUUG
rnacentral:rRNA from 1 species